rnacentral:rRNA from 1 species
UACAGAGACUGCAAGCGUUACUCGGAUUUACUGGGCGUAAAGGGUGCGCAGGCGGCCAAGUGUGUGAGGCGUGAAAGCCCGGGGCUUAACCCCGGAAUUGCACCUCAAACUACUCGGCUAGAGCAUUGGAGAGGGUAGCAGAAUUCAUGGUGUAGCAGUGAAAUGCGUAGAUAUCAUGAGGAAUACCAGAGGCGAAGGUGGCUACCUGGACAAUUGCUGACGCUCAGGCACGAAAGCGUGGGGAGCAAAAGGG